rnacentral:lncRNA from 1 species
CAAUCUCAUAAUACAAAUCCUACUUGGAUUAGGAAUCCUUAUAACUUAAGUUAUUCAACUUAGAUUAGGAAUCCUUUUAGGUGCCAAGAAUUGAAGCCCUUGCACCCAUAAUUAAACACCCCAAAACACACCCAAGAGAUGCCCCAUAAGAGAACUAAAAGCUCUCUAAUCAAAGGACACACCCAACUUGAUCAAAUUAAGGUGGCCCCCA